UACACAUGCAGUCGACGAUGACUUUUGUGCUUGCACAGAAUGAUUAGUGGCGAACGGGUGAGUAACACGUGAGUAACCUGCCCUUGACUUCGGGAUAAGCCUGGGAAACUGGGUCUAAUACCGGAUAUGCACCGUGGACCGCAUGGUUCUUGGUGGAAAGAUUUUUUGGUCAGGGAUGGACUCGCGGCCUAUCAGCUUGUUGGUGAGGUAAUGGCUCACCAAGGCGACGACGGGUAGCCGGCCUGAGAGGGUGACCGGCCACACUGGGACUGAGACACGGCCCAGACUCCUACGGGAGGCAGCAGUGGGGAAUAUUGCACAAUGGGCGAAAGCCUGAUGCAGCGACGCCGCGUGAGGGAUGACGGCCUUCGGGUUGUAAACCUCUUUCAGUAGGGAAGAAGCGAAAGUGACGGUACCUGCAGAAGAAGCGCCGGCUAACUACGUGCCAGCAGCCGCGGUAAUACGUAGGGCGCAAGCGUUAUCCGGAAUUAUUGGGCGUAAAGAGCUCGUAGGCGGUUUGUCGCGUCUAUCGUGAAAGUCCGAGGCUCAACCUCGGAUCUGCGGUGGGUACGGGCAGACUAGAGUGAUGUAGGGGAGACUGGAAUUCCUGGUGUAGCGGUGAGAUGCGCAGAUAUCAUGAGGAACACCGAUGGCGAAGGCAGGUCUCUGGGCAUUAACUGACGCUGAGGAGCGAAAGCAUGGGGAGCGAACAGGAUUAGAUACCCUGGUAGUCCAUGCCGUAUACGUUGGGCACUAGGUGUGGGGGACAUUCCACGUUUUCCGCGCCGUAGCUAACGCAUUAAGUGCCCCGCCUGGUGAGUACGGCCGCAAGGCUAACACUCAAAAGAAUUGACUGAGGCCCGCACAAUCGGCAGACCAUGCGGAUUAAUUCAAUGCAACGCGAAGAACCUUACCAUGGCUUGACAUGUGGCAGACCGCCGUGGAAACACGGUUUCCCCUUUGGGGCUGGUUC
rnacentral:rRNA from 1 species